GAUCCUGGCUCAGGAUGAACGCUGGCGGCGUGCCUAAUACAUGCAAGUCGAACGCUUGCUUGAGGACUUGUCUUCAAGCGGGAGUGGCGAACGGGUGAGUAAUACAUAAGCAAUCUGCCCAUCGGCCUGGGAUAACAGUUGGAAACGACUGCUAAUACCGGAUAGGUGAUGAAGAGGCAUCUCUUGAUCAUUAAAGUUGGGAUACAACACGGAUGGAUGAGCUUAUGGCGUAUUAGCUAGUAGGUGAGGUAACGGCUCACCUAGGCGAUGAUACGUAGCCGACCUGAGAGGGUGACCGGCCACAUUGGGACUGAGACACGGCCCAAACUCCUACGGGAGGCAGCAGUAGGGAAUUUUCGGCAAUGGGCGAAAGCCUGACCGAGCAACGCCGCGUGAGUGAAGAAGGCCUUCGGGUUGUAAAGCUCUGUUGUGAAGGAAGAACGGCUCAUACAGGGAAUGGUAUGGGAGUGACGGUACUUUACCAGAAAGCCACGGCUAACUACGUGCCAGCAGCCGCGGUAAUACGUAGGUGGCGAGCGUUAUCCGGAAUUAUUGGGCGUAAAGGGUGCGCAGGCGGUUUUUUAAGUUUAAGGUGAAAGCGUGGGGCUUAACCCCAUAUAGCCUUAGAAACUGAGAGACUAGAGUACAGGAGAGGGCAAUGGAAUUCCAUGUGUAGCGGUAAAAUGCGUAGAUAUAUGGAGGAACACCAGUGGCGAAGGCGGUUGCCUGGCCUGUAACUGACGCUCAUGCACGAAAGCGUGGGGAGCAAAUAGGAUUAGAUACCCUAGUAGUCCACGCCGUAAACGAUGAGAACUAAGUGUUGGGGAAACUCAGUGCUGCAGUUAACGCAAUAAGUUCUCCGCCUGGGGAGUAUGCACGCAAGUGUGAAACUCAAAGGAAUUGACGGGGGCCCGCACAAGCGGUGGAGUAUGUGGUUUAAUUCGACGCAACGCGAAGAACCUUACCAGGUCUUGACAUCCCCUGCAAAGACAUAGAGAUAUGUUGGAGGUUAUCAGGGAGACAGGUGGUGCAUGGUUGUCGUCAGCUCGUGUCGUGAGAUGUUGGGUUAAGUCCCGCAACGAGCGCAACCCUUGUCUUUAGUUACUAACAUUGAGUUGAGGACUCUAGAGAGACUGCCGGUGACAAACCGGAGGAAGGUGGGGAUGACGUCAAAUCAUCAUGCCCCUUAUGACCUGGGCUACACACGUACUACAAUGG
rnacentral:rRNA from 1 species